rnacentral:tRNA from 1 species
AGUUUUAAUAGUUUAAUUUUAAAAACGUUGGUCUUGUAAACCAAAAUUAAGUCUACUUGUAAAACUA